AACGAACGCUGGCGGCAUGCCUAACACAUGCAAGUCGAACGAGACCUUCGGGUCUAGUGGCGCACGGGUGCGUAACGCGUGGGAACCUGCCCUUAGGUUCGGAAUAACUCCCCGACAGGGGUGCUAAUACCGGAUAAUGUCUUCGGACCAAAGAUUUAUUGCCUUUGGAUGGGCCCGCGUUGGAUUAGCUAGUUGGUAGGGUAAAAGCCUACCAAGGCGACGAUCCAUAGCUGGUCUGAGAGGAUGAUCAGCCACACUGGGACUGAGACACGGCCCCGACUCCUACGGGAGGCAGCAGAGGGGAAUAUUGGACAAGGGGCGAAAGCCUGAUCCAGCAAUGCCGCGUGAGUGAUGAAGGCCUUAGGGUUGUAAAGCUCUUGUACCCGGGAUGAUAAUGACAGUACCGGGAGAAUAAGCUCCGGCUAACUCCGUG
rnacentral:rRNA from 1 species